UACGUAGGGGGCAAGCGUUGUCCGGAAUCAUUGGGCGUAAAGAGCGUGUAGGCGGCUCGGUAAGUCCGCUGUGAAAGCCCAGGGCUUAACCCUGGAAUUGCCUUUAAGACUGCAUCGCUAGAAUCGUGGAGAGGUGAGUGGAAUUCCGAGUGUAGAGGUGAAAUUCGUAGAUAUUGGGAAGAACACCGGUGGCGAAGGCGGCUCACUGGCUCAUUUCUGACGCUCAGGCGCGACAGCGUGGGGAUCAAACAGG
rnacentral:rRNA from 1 species